rnacentral:lncRNA from 1 species
GCCUGGUUCAGACUGGGCUUGGGAAGUGAGUCAGGGCCUGACUAUAUGUGAUAAAGAGAAGCUCCUUGCUUUUAAAGGACAGUAAGGGGGUCGUCUUACACUUAGCAGCCCGGACAGAAUUGAUUUUUUUACAGACCCCUCUGUGGGCGAGUGCCUUUUAUGAAAAAGGCAAAAAUAUUUAAUAAGAAUGAAACCCCCUGAAUGGUCCCGGGUCCUAUCAGAAGCGGGAAGUCCCCUUUUUAAAUGGUCGCAGGCAUCUCCUUUGAUCACACGAUAUCACUGAACAUGCAGUCCUCACACCCCCAACUUCAUUCUCAUCUCAUUUUUCUCCACGGUGCAUGCCAGCCUCUGACACGUGGUGGCCCUCUCUCGAGGGGGUGCUGGUGCCUGACUCCUUUGGACACCCUGUGAAGGCAGGGCCAGACAGGUCGCAAGGGAAAACCAUCGGUCAAGGUGAGUGUUGCAGGCGCCCUGGAGGAAGGCACCGUGUCACCUGCUGGCCCAAGGGCUUCCAGAAUUCCAUGAAUUACAACAGGGAAUGCAUCUGCCAAGCAUCCUAGACCCACGUUUCUGGCCGGCACAGCCUCGCCCUCUGUGGAAAUCAGCAUGAGAGGUGCCACACAGAGGCUGCCUGGAGAGUGGGCUGAACAGGGGGAAGGAGUAAUCCCCCAUGGCCGUCUCCACCCUCACAUCUCCAUCCCUGCCACGUGGGGCCUGGGGUCUGGGCUGCUCUCUGGAUAGCCAGGGCUGUGCUAGGCGCUGCUCAGGCUGGGCUCUCUGAUGGCCCCUAAGAUGUCAGCAAGACCUACCCAUGACACCGCCCAAGCCCAGGGCCUGAGGACGGGAGCCUUGUCCUUCCAGAGCACCGGCUCUGGGGCCUGUGCAGGUGGUGCCCAUCUCUGAGUCUCAGGGUUCUCAUCUGUGCAGUGGGGACAUCAGUGGUGUCUGCAGGACAGGCUGUAGGAGGGUGAAGUUGAAAGCAGGUCUGAGCUGCCAGAGGCCCUGGGUCUGGCCCGCCACACACCUGGGGAGUCAGGGACUGCCUGUCCCCCCAGCAGCUGCCCUCCAUGCCCAUGUGCUGGCCAGAGAACCCUGGUCAGGGGCUGAGACAGUGGUGUGCUGGUGGUCACUAAUACUGACCGUCAUUAAACGUUUAGGAAUGCUGACAGCCAUUGUUACAAAUUAAAUUCUACAAACUGAUGAUUAAAUAAAUUGUAUUAAAAACAAAGGUAGUGAAUAUUCCACUCCCUGUCCUUCCUGGUUGCCUUUCUGCAUCGUCUGUGCUCUUACAGCGACGUCUGCUGCUGGGUCUGUGGUGAAAAUGCUGUAUGAGGCUGUGCUACUGCUCUGCCUGCAGUGACGUCUGGGGACAGCUGCAAAUGGGCACAUGUGGAAGCCAGAGGACUGACUGUCAACCUGUCACCGGAGUGGGCCUGGAUUCCACGGCCAGGGGAGGGGCCGCCAGCCUGGGAUGCAUACAGUCCUCACAGCUCUGGGAGCUGGCUUUCAGGGACUCCUCCUGCAGGGUUCUGUGGGUGCUGCUCUAUGCUCUCUCUCCUUCUGCUGAGGCAUAGGGCUUCUCUACUCGCCCUGGGCCAGAGGAGCCAGGCAGCUGGGCAGCGGAAGGCUCGGGUGCCCUGGACAGGCGUCUGCCUAGCACUGGCUGGCCCGGCCCAGCCAGACGCCUGCUGGCUCAUCCGCACAGCCACCCUGUGGGUGAGGGCUUGGUCUGUUCGAGGGAUGGGGGACCGAGGUUCUGGGAGGGGCUUGCCAAGUCCUGGCAGUCAGCAAAUGGCAGGCAAGGACCUGAGCCCCUCCACUGGAUGUGAGGUCAGUGCUGCCCCAAGCACCUGGGGCUGCCUUCAGUGACAGGAGCAGCGUGGUGAUGUGGGGAGAGGUUCAGCUGGAGGCAGCCACACCACGCAGGACGCUAGGGCAUGGUCCAGGAGCCCUGCACUGGCUGACAUGCACUCCUGAAGUUCUGCCUUUAGAGACUGAUCCCUCGCAACACCCAUCUGCCCUCUCCUUGAGUCCUCCUCCCACGCGCGCGUCCCCAAGAAGAUAAGCAUCAGGGCACCAACGUGCUACUCAAGGUCCUGGGGGCAGCAGCAUCAAGGGAAAGGAGACCAGCAGGCAGAGCAUGGCUGUGGGUGACCUGAAACAGCCACCACUCUCUCCCCCUGGAACCCCGAGGGCCAAGGGAGCAGGAGGGCCUGGCCCUGAGCAGCCUCCCUUCUGCAGAGAAAGGCAGGCAUGGGUGGGCAACACUGGGGCCAGACAGAUGGGGGUGGGCUGGUCUUGGGGGCUCAACUUGGAGGGCAGGGCACUGCCUGACAACGUGGGCAUCAUGCAGAGGGCCGUGCGAGGGCAGCUCGUGGAAAGCGCCCAGAGUGGAGCGCUGGCCCUGGAGAGCAAGGGAUGCUCACGCACGCUGCAACCCGGAUGAACCUCAAGGACAUCGUGCUGAGUGAAAUAAGCCAGACACAAAAGGCAUGGCCUGCAUGAUUCCACUCACAUGAGGCACCUGGAGUAGUCAAAUGCACAGCCGGGAAGUAGAAUGGCAGUUGCCAGGGGUUGCAGGGAGGGGAGUUAGUGUUUAAUGGGCACAGGGUUUUAGUUUUGCAAGAUGAAGGGUUUUGUGGAUGGGUGGUGGUGAUGGUUGCUCAACAGUGCUAAUGUGCUUAAUGCCUCUGAACGGUGCACUUAAAAAUGGUUAAUGGCUGGGCGAGGUGGCUCACGCCUAUAAUCACGCUUUUACCAGGCCCAGGUGGGAGGCUGUCUUGAGGCCAGGAGUUUGAGACCAGCCUGGGCAACAUAGUGAGACCUCAUCUCUACAAAAAAAAAUUUAAGAAUUAGCUGGGCGUGGUGGCACACUGGUAGUCCCAGCUACUCAGGAGGCUGAGGUGGCAUGGGAGUGGGAGGGGUGGUGGGGUGCUGGGGGGUGGGGAGGUAGUGCAGUGCAGCAGAGCAGGGUGUGGGAGGGUAGGGGGAUGGAGGUGUGUGUGUGUGUGGAGGGGGGAGAAUCGCUUGAGCCCAGGAAUUCAAGCUUGCAGUGAGCUGUGAUCCAGCCACUUGAAUUCUUUUUAUUUUUUUUAUUAUUUUUAAAUUAUUUUUUAAGACAGAGUUUCGCUCUUGUUCCCCAGGCUGGAGUACAAUGGCACGAUCUCAGCUCACUGCAACCUCUGCCUCCUGGGUUCAAGCGAUUCUCCCGCCUCAGCCUCCCGAAUAGCUGGGAUUACAGGCAUGCGCCACCACGCCUGGCUAAUUUUGUAUUUUUUAGUAGAGACGCUGUUUCUCCAUGUUGGUCAGGCUGGUCUUGAACUCCCGACCUCAGGUGAUCCGCCUGCCUCAACCUCCCAAAGUGCUGGGAUUACAGGCGUGAACCACCGCGCCCAGCCCAGACUCUUGAAUUCUUAAAGCACAGCUUGCCUUAGGGGCUUCAUAAUGGCCCUAGGGCCCCUGGGGCAUCACCCACAGGGUGUGAGGACCCUCCCCUCACCUCCCUCUCUCCCUGCCUCACUUCCUUCUUUCCUCCCUCCCUUCCCUUCUCAACUGAGCCCCCUACUCAGUGCCAAGCCCUGGGCGCCCUGCCUGGAGGAGUGGGCAGAAUGAUGGGAAGGCAGGCGAGUGUGCUGCAACAGAGGCGAGCCAUGGGCUGUGAGGCAUUGCAGGCAGACAGCAGAGGCAGGAAGCAGGCCUUCCUUCUGGGAAGCAGGAGGAGCCCGGGGAGAGUUGCUAGCUGUGGCCUUCUCAGCCCAGGCCCUCUAGCAACUUGGGGUUUGAGGGUCAAACUUCUUUCUUUAGGUAGGUGAGGAUAGAUGUGGAGGCCUCAGAACCCUGAGUUCAAGUCUGAUCUCAGCUUCUUGCCUACUGCGGUAGGGCAGUCGCUUCUCAGUGACUCAACUUUCCCAGCCACAAGAUGGGUCCAGGAAGAGCCGCUUGGGGAGCAGCGGGGCCGGGAGGAUGGGGUGAAUGACUGCCUGGCUGUGGGUAUCUGCAGCUCCUGCUGGCAAUCCUUCUCACCCGCUCGGUCUCCAGCCAGGGGACAGGGACCUGGGGUCCACACCUCAGCCUGAGGUCCAAGGCCAUCCUCGGAGGAGGCCCCACAUUCGUCCCCCAGGUUGGUGCCCACGCCUGCCCUGGCAUGAAGCCACCCUUUCUCAGGAAGUCCAAGUUACUGAAACAGAUAAAUCAAUCUGUCAAGAAGCCUUGGAGAAAGAAUCUCUCAACUCGCUCAGCCAAGAAGCUCAAAAGGCGAAUUGUUCCCAGAGAUGAAGAAGGAAACAACAGACACCUUCUUCCCAGGCUCUGCCUGCGGCUCUCGAGGCCCUGCCCUCCUCCCCCUGCCCCCAGAGAGCACCUGUAGGCUCAGGGCCAGCCCAGGGACAGGCAUGGCAGCCCCUCGCUGGCUGCUGGGGUGGCGCCCAAUUCCAGAGCCCUGUCUGGGGAAGGAGAGGGCCGAGAGCCACUGUUUGGCUCCUGUCCCAGACCUGACUGGGAGACCUUCUGAAAAACUCAGCCUCCUGAUCAACAGAGGGCAGAAGACCUGAGCCACUGGCCUCCCCAUGGAAGAGGCACUCAGAGCGGUAUGAGGAGUAGUGCUCACCCUGGACAAACUCCCGGAGUCAGUGUGACCGUCGGAGCUGGAGGCUGGGGUGAUGGGGGCCAGGGAAACCAAGCAAUGGCCCCGAGGUAGUGAGGAGUCUCUGGAGGCCAGAUACCCUCAAGAUGGAAAAGGAACAUCCUUGGAGGAUUGGGGUGGCUUCUUCCUGGAGGGAGGAGGGACACAUGCCGGGAUGACAGCCAGCUCUGCCGCUGACCAGCUGUGUGACCUUGUGAAAGUCACUUGAUCUCUCGGCGCAUCAAUUUCCUCAUUGUUGCCUGGGCCUCUUGUGAGAUCUUCCUCAUGGCUUGCAGUGAGGAUUGAAUGAGUCGAUCUGUGCCCCGUGGCCCGGGACAUGGUGAGCAUGUGGUAAUGGCAGCCGUUUUAUCCUGUAGUGUAAUAACGGUGUGCAGCUAGACGUCACUCUGGGCACCUUUUCUCACAGAACUGUCACUGCCGUGCUGCAGGAUGCGGAUGGUUGUCUUCACUCUCCAGAUGAGGAAACUGAGGCUCAAGGAAGGGCGGAGCUGCCUGAGGCUUGACAACUCUGCAGUCUGCAGCUGUGAGAGGGGGCUCUUUCUAGCCACACAGCUUUCCCUGGUUCUCGUGCGCUCUGUGAGCAGGAGGACGGGAAGGGCCGCAGCCGCUGAGGGAGCAGGAGGGGUUCGAUGCAAGCCCAGCUCCCAGCACGGGAAAGCCAGGUCAAGAAACACACGGCCUCUGCUGUGGGGCUGAUCACAGCUUUGUCAAAGAGGAGAUGUGGGAGGGGGGAGGUGAAGGGAGCAGGAAGAAAUGAAUGUCAGAAACAUAAAUAGCCCUGGAACUGAUGGACAGUCUGAGAUCUCUGCGCAGACCUGGGCGCCUGCAGGCUGCCACUCAAACCUGAGCAGAAGGGUGAACCCGCCCUCACCCCACUCCCGGUUCCCUACACGCCCCAGGAAAGGGCUGUUGUGAGCGGAAGGCAUUCGUCGAAAACUGGGAAGGUUGCCCAAGAAAGGCAGAGCGGGAAGCCCUCCGUGGGCAGCAGAACCGGAUUAUGAGUUUCAGCUCUACGUA